GAUGAAGAACGUAGCGAAAUGCGAUACGUAAUACGAAUUGCAGCUCUAGUGAAUCAUCGAAUCUUUGAACGCACAUUGCGCCCCUUGGUAUUCCAUGGGGCAUGCCUGUUCGAGCGUCAUUUGUACAUUCAAGCCUUGUUUGGUGUUGGGCGUCUUGUCCUGCCUUUUGCGCAUGGACUCGCCUUAAAUCCAUUGGCAGUCGGCAAUCUGGCGUGGGAGCGCAGCACAUUUUGCGCUCCUCCCCGUGUAUUGCGGCGUCCAUGAAGCCUAUAUUCUAGCGCUUGACCUCGGAUCAGGUAGGGAUACCCGCUGAACUUAAGCAUAUCAAUAAGCGGAGGA
rnacentral:misc_RNA from 1 species